rnacentral:lncRNA from 1 species
GUGUUUACAAUGUAAGAAGAUCAUGCGUUCCUCUCAGCUGUUGUUUCCAGCAACAUAAAGGUUGAUGUCUAAAUGGGAAUGGAAAACCAAUGUGGCUCUUGAAGUAAUAUAGAAGAAUAAUAUGUCAGCAGCUCUUUGCCAUCAAGCUAUGACUAUCCUUGUAGAGGAAUAUAACGUCCAAACAUUGAAGUGUCCAGUUUCGAUUUGCGGUGAUAUUCUUGGUCAAUUUUACGUCUCAUUGAGCUGUUUCGGAUUGGUGGAAGUACUCCUGAUGCAAAUUAUCUCUUCAUGGGAGAAUACGUAGGGUAUUCUUGGACCAAUUACUGCGAUUUUUGAUCACCGAGAGGUUUUUUUGCAUUUUGAAUACCUAUUAGGUGACCUUCGACCCAUUUCCAAUAAACUUUUAGAGGCAAAAUAUAACCCGAAAUGACCUUUUUUAAUUUUUGAUGGGUCAAGAAUGCCACAC